CCUACGGGGGGCAGCAGUGGGGAAUAUUGGACAAUGGGGGGAACCCUGAUCCAGCCAUGCCGCGUGUGUGAAGAAGGCCCUCGGGUUGUAAAGCACUUUCAGUGAGGAAGAACGCCUGGUGGUUAAUACCCAUCAGGAAAGACAUCACUCACAGAAGAAGCACCGGCUAACUCCGUGCCAGCAGCCGCGGUAAUACGGAGGGUGCGAGCGUUAAUCGGAAUUACUGGGCGUAAAGCGCGCGUAGGUGGCUUGAUAAGCCGGUUGUGAAAGCCCCGGGCUCAACCUGGGAACGGCAUCCGGAACUGUCAAGCUAGAGUGCAGGAGAGGAAGGUAGAAUUCCCGGUGUAGCGGUGAAAUGCGUAGAGAUCGGGAGGAAUACCAGUGGCGAAGGCGGCCUUCUGGACUGACACUGACACUGAGGUGCGAAAGCGUGGGUAGCAAACAGGAUUAGAUACCCCGUGUAGUC
rnacentral:rRNA from 1 species